AAAGCUGUUGGACUUGCCACUGUUACUGAAGUUGCCUAUACUCUUGCAUCAACAAUACCAUUCCUGUACUCCUAAAACCUGAGUUCCUUCCAAUCUUCAAAACAUGGAUUUUCCCAACACUCUUAAGAAAGACCUGGACUAUUUGGACCUCAAGAAACGUGUGGCAGAAAGGUCUUGCACCCACAGAGAAAUAACUCCAUGUACCAGUAAGGGCUGGGGGCCAACCACCUGGAAAGCAGCUUUGCAGAAAGGGAGCUAAUGGUCCUGGUGGGCACCACAUUGAACAUGAGGCAGCGUUUAUGAGCACUUCUUUUCCAAGAGAAUCCUGGGCUACAUCAGACUGUGUUGCCAGCAGGCUGACAAAGGUGAUCUUUCCUCUCUGCUCAGCCCUGGUAAGGUCACAGCUGGAGAACGGUGUCCAGUUCUGAGCUCUCCAGUUCAAGAGCAACAUGGAGACAUACUGGAGAGAGACCAGUGAAGGCUACAAACAUGCUUAAAGGACUGGAGCAUUCCACAUAAAAGGAAAGGCUGUUCAGCUUUUAGUAGAGAAUGCUUAGGGGAUUUUAACUGGAUACAUGAAAGGAAUGUAUAAGACAUAACGGGGCUCUUUCCAGUGGUGCCUAGUGAAAAGACAACAGGCAACAGGCAAAGGCUGAAAUACCCUAUAUUUUAUGUUAACCUUUUUUUUUUUUUUUUUUUUUUUUUGAACUGUAAAUACAAUCAAACACUGGAACUGCAUGCCAAAAGAGCCAUCUCCAUCCAUAGUGAUGUUCAAAAGAGCAAGGUUCUAGGCAAGCUGCCUUAAGUGACAUCCUUUACUAGAAGGGUUGGAGUAGACAAUAUUCUACCCAGACUCAGUGAUUCUGUGAUUCUGUGAGACCACACAUACUCCAUAAUGCUGACAUGAACACUAAAACAAAGUAUAAAGUACCGUAGAGUUCAACAUACAAAGAAAAGCUCAGCACUCUACGUUUGACUCCCAACACGAUACCUGAGAGAACAGAAUAAGUCAGACUGGGAUCUACAGAGGUCAGUGUAUUGACAUUCCCAUACUGCUACCCUGUAUGCACGUCCUGGCUCUCUAACUGGAGAGAUUUGUUCUGCAAAAUGAUGUCCUGCAAAGCAAAAACAAAUAUUGAGAUUCACUGAGUCAAGGAGAGAGAGCAAGAAAUUUCAUGGCUCCUUAUGGUUAGGCCACUACUUUGGCAAGGGAGAGCCCUCAGCUUAGCUCUUGCAGUAAGGAUGGAUGUACAGUGUAGAAGUAGUCUGGGAAUAGAACUGAAGCAUCCUUUUGUCAAGUGAGUGCAUUUAUUGCUGGAUCCUCAAUUUGCAGCUACAACUUUGUAUGUCCAAAUGGCUCAGCUCUAGUGAGAAGGGCACAGACAGACCCUUUCUCUUCUCAACAGCCCAUCAUUUUAGUUGGAAUUUUUUCUGGGAAAGAGGUGUACAUUUAAACCUUCUCAGAUGAGAUGAACACUAAGUCCAGAUCUCUCCCUCUCCAGAGGAGUGCUUUAGCUGCAGAGAAGCAGAGCCACUUCUGCCUUUUCAAAAGAAAGCUGCAGUGGUUGCUGUGUUUUUCACCACACUCCUUUUCUUUCUUGACAUAUACUGAGGAUGCCAGAGGAUGCCUCAGAAAGUCCAGGUCUGAGAUCUGGUUUGCGCUGAAGCAUAUGACAGAGGCAACAAGCCCUACAGAGAGACAGCAGGCUAAGUUGUGUGCUGUAGGUGCAUUAAAGUGUGAUGGACAAAGAGCUUGGGGGGUGGCACGUACUUGACAUGGGAAACCUACGCUCCCUGUUCAAGGUGCCCUGCCUCCUUGGUGACUUGAUCAGCUUGCAUGGGGACACAUUUGUGCCUAAUACUACGACUCCAGCAAGUCAUCAUUUUUACGUCUGUAAACCAUUCUAGAUGGCCACAUGAAUAUCAUACAUCAAACAUUCUUAAAGUUUCACAAGGUAUUUGUUUUAGGUUGUUUUUUUUUUUCUUUUUUUUCUUCUUUUUCUUUUUACCCAGCUGCAUAUAGAUCCUAUAGAAGAGAAGCCACGGGAAAAAGUAAUGCUUAAUUUCAGAUUUUGGGCAGAUAGCAUUGUUUUAUACAUCUGGAAGAUGUUCACAUAUCCCUAUUCUCUACCCAGGUUCUUUGGUUUGUAUCAGGAGCAAGCCCAUCAAAUUCUGCUUGCAGUGCUUUUUAUCCCCUUUAUUAUUGCUCAGUUCUAACCCACAAGACAUUUCAAACAUUAGAAAUGGUUCAGUGCAUAAUGGUUUUCAGAAACAUGCAGUAUCUCUGUCUAAAUGAGAAAAAUAAAUAUCUAGGGAGCUUUUGCACAUGUCAACAGUACUCAGUGAAGCAAUAUGUGUAGGCAGCGCUGGAAACAGUGACAAAGUGAGUAUCUGUGCAUAACUUGGUAAUAAUAUCAUCACCGUCUAGACAACUCAACAAUUAGCAUCCAGACAUACCGAAGCCUUCUUUAAGAAGUCUCCAACAAUAAAAAAAAAAAAUGCCUCCAUGGGGAAGAAAGCCACAGAUCUCUCUUUGCUACACUGCACAUGUACAUUUAAUUUUUAUUUCAUUUAAAAGGUUGCUUUCUAAGAUACACUGCUUUUCUCAAGGCCACUCCUGAGUGCGUGUUUGCAAAAACUACAAUUGAUGAACAUCUUCCUGUUAAAACAUCUGUUUUAAUAUUCUCUGCGUAUAGCAGUUGCUAGGCAAAAAUGUUUGAUAUGGCAAUUCCUAUGCACUUCCUGGUCUGCUUCUCCUUUAUUAAUUCUGAAAAACAUUAUUUUCAAAAUCUAUCAAUAUUGGGGUAAUUCAGGAAAAAGAAAGCUUUUCUGCACAAGCAUAUGACUUCCAGUGGGGUAUCUUUAAAGGACUUACUCCAAGACUCAACUCUUCUGUAACAGGCCCAAGUCUGUUCUCACUUUCUAACUCUUUUUCUGUACACUGAAAACAGCAAAUUACACUGCAACAAAUCCAAGGUAAAGGCAGAAUUAUAUCCUCUGAUCUUG
ensembl:lncRNA